rnacentral:rRNA from 1 species
UACGUAGGGUGCAAGCGUUGUCCGGAAUUACUGGGCGUAAAGGGCUCGUAGGCGGUUUGUCGCGUCUGCCGUGAAAGUCCGGGGCUCAACUCCGGAUCUGCGGUGGGUACGGGCAGACUAGAGUGAUGUAGGGGAGACUGGAAUUCCUGGUGUAGCGGUGAAAUGCGCAGAUAUCAGGAGGAGCACCGAUGGCGAAGGCAGGUCUCUGGGCAUUAACUGACGCUGAGGAGCGAAAGCAUGGGGAGCGAACAGG